rnacentral:rRNA from 1 species
GGAAUCUUCCACAAUGGACGCAAGUCUGAUGGAGCAACGCCGCGUGAGUGAAGAAGGUCUUCGGAUCGUAAAACUCUGUUGUUAGAGAAGAACACGAGUGAGAGUAACCGUUCAUUCGAUGACGGUAUCUAACCAGCAAGUCACGGCUAACUACGUGCCAG